UAGGGAAUCUUCCACAAUGGGCGAAAGCCUGAUGGAGCAACGCCGCGUGUGUGAUGAAGGCUUUCGGGUCGUAAAGCACUGUUGUAUGGGAAGAACAGCUAGGAUAGGAAAUGAUUUUAGUUUGACGGUACAAUACCAGAAAGGGACGGCUAAAUACGUGUCAG
rnacentral:rRNA from 1 species